rnacentral:rRNA from 1 species
AGUGAACGCUGGCGGUAGGCCUAACACAUGCAAGUCGAACGGCAGCACAGUAAGAGCUUGCUCUUACGGGUGGCGAGUGGCGGACGGGUGAGGAAUACAUCGGAAUCUACUUUUUCGUGGGGGAUAAUGUAGGGAAACUUACGCUAAUACCGCAUACGACCUACGGGUGAAAGCAGGGGAUCUUCGGACCUUGCGCGAUUGAAUGAGCCGAUGUCGGAUUAGCUAGUUGGCGGGGUAAAGGCCCACCAAGGCGACGAUCCGUAGCUGGUCUGAGAGGAUGAUCAGCCACACUGGAACUGAGACACGGUCCAGACUCCUACGGGAGGCGGCAGUGGGGAACAUUGGACAAUGGGCGCAAGCCUGAUCCAGCCAUACCGCGUGGGUGAAGAAGGCCUUCGGGUUGUAAAGCCCUUUUGUUGGGAAAGAAAAGCAGCAGGUUAAUACCCCGCUGUUCUGACGGUACCCAAAGAAUAAGCACCGGCUAACUUCGUG